CUUCAGCGAUCCCAGCCACAGCGGUCGUCCGGCCGGCCGGUCGUGCCCGUACGCGGCCAGCAGCGCCCUGGCUUC
rnacentral:antisense_RNA from 3 species